UAAAUCAAAUUUUUCCUUCAAUCAGACAGAGGUACCUGGUAAUCCUGGAUCUCCGGGAGGCCCUUUUGGACCAUGUGUACCAAGCAGCGGAGUGGGGUCACCUCUCUUGCCUGUAGAAGUACAAUGACUUUUAUUUCAUACAAGUUUCCUUUUCAUCCACAAAAUCAAAGCUGGACAAUUUUGUAAGAUCAGAUAAUUUACAGAUAUUAACAGCUGUAAAAGGGACUAAGAGAAUAUAGAAUGAAAAAUGCUUUGGCACAUGUAAAUUAUCUGCCAUCUCAGCUUGUCUUGAAGUACUAACUCAGUUUCUGUUUAGUAUGACUCAGGGCAGCAUUAAUGAAAAUUUCCCAUAACGAAAAAAGAAAACCAAAAAUUACAGGAACUUUCCCAAUACUGACAGCAUACACUGAAAAAGAAAGAUACUGCAUAAAUUCCCCAGAACACUUUAUUAAACAGAGAACUCCUUACAUAGGUUUGUGAGGAUGUGCAAAAUCAAUACCUUGUGAGUCUAUUUACUCAGUAAAGACCUUUUACAGACUAGCAGGGGACUUAAAGGCAUCACACCUCCUUCUUUCUGCCUGUGCUGAAAUUCCUGUUUAUCACGCAAUCAAUAAUUCCAAGCAGUUUUGCUUUGCAAUGUCUCUACAAAUGUCUGACCUCUCCUACCUAUUCAUGCUGCCUCCAGCUUCAUUGUCUGAUUUUGCUGUGAACAGUUAAGAGGAAAUACCGAGUUCAAGUGUUGCUAGAAAUCUCCUGCCAUAGCAAUGCCCACCUUUACUGGCUGUUUUCUGCUUUUGCUUUAAGGAUGAGUUUUCCAGUAAGUUUGUUUUCAAUACAUUUCAUACAAGUUGUCCUUAUAUUGAGUAUCGUUCUUUACUUUUUUCUGUCUCAGGUAAGUCAGACUUGUUUCCAAUGACCCUCAUGUUUUAAUUUUUUCCCUUCUGUCCUGUUUUCCCUUUUCUAGUGAGUACUCGCCAUCAUCUGUCAGAGCAUAUGCAUCCUAACAAUACUGCUCUUUCCAAAGCAUCUCUAUAUAAAUUACCUUUGGAUCCUUUUGGGCCAGUCAGUCCUGGAUUGCCAGGGAUUCCUGUGUAGCCUGGACUUCCACCAAGUGGCAAUAUAACAAAAUCACAGCAUGCAGGUAGGACAGAGGGGAGAGGCCCUUUGUUGACUCUGACUAAAAUGUAAUCAAGGCAUUGAAUUGUUGCAUUAAGGAAUUUACCUUUCCUGUUAUACUGACAGUCUCUUCUCAGGAGGAACAUUUAAUGGGAAACCCUGGUUCCCCCUUUUGUCCUUUCUCAAGAUGGAUGUUAACACAGCCACUGUCUCCUGGAGGCCCUCUUUCACCUUUGAACCAAACACAUGGAAUGAAAGUAAAUCCUCAUGAGUGACACGGCCUGAAAAUUAAUUUUAGUCACAACUUCCCUAACAGAGAAAGCCUUCAAGUACUAAUGCAGUUCUCGGUUGUUUCAGCAGGCUCACUACUAACAGAAUUUAUUAUCCUUCUCUUGCUUUUUAGUUUACACAGUAAUAAGUCAGGUGAUGUUAAAUCAGAGUUAUUCCCUGCUUGUCUGGAAUAUGAAAAAUGGCAAUUGUAUUGUCCAUUCCACAGUGUACUGUCUGUGAUUGCACCUUGGAGAUGGUUAUUCUCUUUCCUACAUUAACAUUUAGAGAGGUUAAAGAACACAGACAAUAUGAUAGAAAACUUGAAAAAAAUCUAAAGUUUCAGAUGUGUGCAGGACAAAUCUCAUGGUUUGCUUGAAUAGGUGAUUAACUCUUUAAUUUAGUGGUAAAUGCACCUACUGAUCUCAGUGAAAUUAAUUUUUCUUUAGUUAUAUUUCGUUAUGCAUUUGUGAGAUUAACUGGAUUUAAUAUUUAGUAUCUCUGAAAAUAGAAGUGAAUAUACCUUUAGCAAGAAGAAAAAGUAAAUAUAUUCCUAACACAGCAGGAACAAAACUAAACAUAGCAGUAACGUAACUACAGUGUGAAGUGGAUUUUUACAAACCUUUUAUUCCCAUAUCCCCACAUUCUCCACU